rnacentral:lncRNA from 1 species
CAGAACCCGAUUUUGCCCUAUGCUCACAGCCAAGAAACAAACCUAAACUUACAUGCAACAAUUCUAUACAGAUGGACUUAAAUGGGGGACCAAACAUAACUUUUAUAACACUUAAAACAACCUCCUAAGAAACCCCUAAGAACACACAAGAACACUCGUAGGAAACAGGCAGAAAAAGGCUGGACAUGGGACUUUCGGCGGUAGGUUCGGCGGCUUAAAGUCCCUCACAGAUCCGAAGGUCACAACCUUCGGAGGCAGGUUAGGCGGCCAAAUGGCUGCCUCCACAGGCAAAUUCGGCAGUCGAAUCUUGCUUCGGCGGCUGAACCUAGGUUCUCCAGUAAUGCAGAACUCGAUUUUACCCUAUUCUCACAGCCAAGAAACAAACCCAAACUUACAUGCAGCAGCCUAAAGACUACCAUACACACUUAACACGCAUAAGGGACCUCAAAAACUUGUUUUAAACUCAACAUGCGUCAAUAAAAUCCCAAGAGAAAAUCAUCCAUCAUCAAAACUAACUCAAACUUUAAAACUUUAGAAUAAUCAAUCAUGUAUGACCUAACAACUUGUAAUACUGGUUUAAAACCUUCAAAAAACAUAAGAAAAGCAAGGAUUGAACUUACCUCUUGAAGAACACGAAAAACACAGCAAUUCAGACUUGGAGAGGAG